rnacentral:lncRNA from 1 species
CUGGAAGACAUAGUCUGGAAGAAAGAUUUUAACUACAUGUUAUUUUGGGACAUUCUACAUGUGGAAGUUAAUGAGGAGAAGCAAUUUAAUUAUUUUACUGCUGACAGUCUUACAGUGGCUUCAUGUAUAACCUCCUGUUUGACAAAUAAAACAACCUGCUAGAGAAAACUUCAACACAUUGUAUCUUAAUACAGUUCCAUGUUAUAUUAAAAUCCAUUUCGCAGCAGCAUUAUUGCAGCCGAGUAGGAGUGCUAUUCUGGAGAGUUAAUGAGAGGAGUUAGUGGCCUAUCAUUUCACAUCCUAAUUCAUUCCACAUUUAUUUCCCCACAUGGACAAGCCCUUAAUCAAACAGCUUUUUUAAAUUUAUUUGUGGGCAACUGUUAGAUUAUUUCAGCCUGUGAUUAAUGGAAAAUGAGACAAAUAGUAGCUUCUAAACUUGGGCACCAUGAACAUGCCACAGCAAUUAUCUCUUGGCUGAGUCUCGGGAGGACUCCAGAGCCCUGAGUCUUUGAAUGCUGCUCAGCCUUGGCUCCUGGGUGGCUCCUGGGUGCUCCAGACCUGUGCGUGGGUCCCUGGGGACGCUGUGGGGUGGGCUGGGUUUUGGCUGGGGGUCCUCUUGCCACCAGUGCCCAGGGAGAUGAGAGCUGGCAGCGCCGUUUCUUUUUGGGCCCUCUCAAUGCUGCUGGGACUUUCUCCACCAUGUGGGACCUUGUUCCCACAGCUCACUGCCGACACCAAAGAGCACAGCCAGGACCAGAAGGCAGAGCUGAGCCAGUGCAUCCUGCUGCAAGCUCGCAUCUACCCAGAGGAGACGAUCCUGUUCCUGGAGUCCCAGCUGGGCCACGAGAGGGAGGCCAUGCGCGUGGCAGCCCUGGGUCUGCUCGGUGCUCUGGCACGCUGUGACGAGCCCGCGAUGGCAGAGAAGCUGCCCCAGGUCGUGGAGGCUGUCAAGCGUGUGUGCAGGGACCCCAGCAUCCGGGCCAGAAACGCCCCCCCCCAUGUUGGAGAGGCUCCGUACUGUAGCCAGGAGAGGCUGCCUAGAGAACGGGCAGAGGCUGCACACAUCAACCUUCGAAAUCCUUGCUUUCCAGGGCCCAAGCAGCACACCCAAGCGUGGAGAUGGCAGACAAGGCCCUCUGUGACUGUGGCACCCUGUGGGCAAUAAAACUCUGUAUGUGGUCUCACCGCUCACUGUGUCCUUGGGGAAAUCCAACUCAACGUGGCCUCACCUCUGCAGACAAAGGGUCUUUUUUGUAGGGCCAGGGGGGCAUGUUGGGGCCUGUGGGGAAAAGCCUGGCAGGAUGAACAAAUGGGUUCUGAAGGAGUUGGUGGACCUAAGCGUGAGGCCUCCCAGGGUUAUCCAUCAAAUGUCACCGCGAUCAGGAAAGGCUGCUGGCAAAUGGGAGAAAGCAAACAUCGCCCCUCUAAAUUGGUUUCUCUAAAACUUCCCUUAAAAAGAAACUGCUUGCCACUCCUGUUCCCAAUGUGUACAUUUUGUGAGAAGCACAGAGAACGUAUACUACUAUAACCUAGAUCUUAACUUUUUCCCCCAGGUUUCACUAAAGAGCCCUUUGCACCCUUUGCACAUUCCAGGAACUCAUCUUGGGCAUCUUUGGAAAACUGCUCUCCAAAGCAGUUCUCAACAUGCGCUUCUGGGAUGGUUUUACUCGGGUGGGCAGCUGAGCUCCACCACAACUGCUCUCUCACUCCCCCUCCUCCAAGAGGAACAGGGAGAAAAGAGGAUGCAAAGGGCUUGAGGGUUGAGAUAAGGACGGGGAGAUUGCUCAACAAUGAUCGUGACAGGCAAAACAGAGUCGGGAGACAGUCACAUUUAUUGCCUAUUCCUAACAAUCUAGAGAAGCGAGAAACAAAGGAAAGAAAUCAAAAAUGCCAUCCACCCUCUUCCACCUCCUCCCCCCAAGCAGCGCAGGGGAACAGGGGAAUGGGGGCUGUGGUCAGUCUAUGGCACUUCAUUCACUUCUCCUUCUUGGUCACUCUUGUCCUCUGUGCUGUGGAGUCGCUCCCAUGGGAUGCAAUCCUUCCCAAACUGAAAUGAAAUUCUUGGCAAAGAAAUUCUUGGCAAAGAAACCAAGUCAGAGGAUUAGUAUUUCUCA